rnacentral:rRNA from 1 species
AGAGUUUGAUCAUGGCUCAGAUUGAACGCUGGCGGCAGGCUUAACACAUGCAAGUCGAGCGGUAACAGGAAGAAGCUUGCUUCUUUGCUGACGAGCGGCGGACGGGUGAGUAAUGCCUAGGAAUCUGCCUAGUAGUGGGGGAUAACUUGCCGAAAGGUGAGCUAAUACCGCAUACGUCCUACGGGAGAAAGCAGGGGACUCUUCGGAGCCUUGCGCUAUUAGAUGAGCCUAGGUCGGAUUAGUUAGUUGGUGAGGUAAUGGCUCACCAAGACAGCGAUCCGUAACUGGUCUGAGAGGAUGAUCAGUCACACUGGAACUGAGACACGGUCCAGACUCCUACGGGAGGCAGCAGUGGGGAAUAUUGGACAAUGGGGGCAACCCUGAUCCAGCCAUGCCGCGUGUGUGAAGAAGGUUUUAGGAUUGUAAAGCACUUUAAGUUGGGAGGAAGGGCAGUUAACUAAUAUUUGACUGUUUUGACGUUACCGACAGAAUAAGCACCGGCUAACUUCGUGCCAGCAGCCGCGGUAAUACGAAGGGUGCAAGCGUUAAUCGGAAUUACUGGGCGUAAAGCGCGCGUAGGUGGUUCGUUAAGUUAGGAGUGAAAGCCCCGGGCUCAACCUGGGAAUUGCUUCUAAAACUGGCGGGCUAGAGUAUGGUAGAGGGUGGUGGAAUUUCCUGUGUAGCGGUGAAAUGCGUAGAUAUAGGAAGGAACAUCAGUGGCGAAGGCGACCACCUGGACUGAUACUGACACUGAGGUGCGAAAGCGUGGGGAGCAGACAGGAUUAGAUACCCUGGUAGUCCACGCCGUAAACGAUGUCAACUAGUUGUUGGGUUCCUUGAGGACUUAGUAACGCAGCUAACGCAUUAAGUUGACCGCCUGGGGAGUACGGCCGCAAGGUUAAAACUCAAAUGAAUUGACGGGGGCCCGCACAAGCGGUGGAGCAUGUGGUUUAAUUCGAAGCAACGCGAAGAACCUUACCUGGCCUUGACAUGCUGAGAACUUUCCAGAGAUGGAUUGGUGCCUUCGGGAACUCAGACACAGGUGCUGCAUGGCUGUCGUCAGCUCGUGUCGUGAGAUGUUGGGUUAAGUCCCGCAACGAGCGCAACCC